rnacentral:rRNA from 1 species
GACGAACGCUGGCGGCGUGCUUAACACAUGCAAGUCGAACGAUGACGACCGAGCUUGCUCGGUCUGAUUAGUGGCGAACGGGUGAGUAACACGUGAGCAACCUGCCCUUCACUCUGGGAUAACCUCGGGAAAUCGGGGCUAAUACCGGAUAUUAGCUCCUGUCGCAUGGCGGGUGUUGGAAAGUUUUUCGGUGAAGGAUGGGCUCGCGGCCUAUCAGUUUGUUGGUGAGGUAGUGGCUCACCAAGGCGAUGACGGGUAGCCGGCCUGAGAGGGCGACCGGCCACACUGGGACUGAGACACGGCCCAGACUCCUACGGGAGGCAGCAGUGGGGAAUAUUGCACAAUGGGCGAAAGCCUGAUGCAGCGACGCCGCGUGAGGGAUGACGGCCUUCGGGUUGUAAACCUCUUUCAGCAGGGAAGAAGCGAAAGUGACGGUACCUGCAGAAGAAGCGCCGGCUAACUACGUG